GUUUGAUAUUUGUCUAAACAAUGAUCCAUCCAAACAAUAAUAUAUUAUGUAAUGAUUACGUUGAUAAUUACCACAUACCUUCCAAAUCGUAGUUUUCAAGAACUGAAAAAAUUCCGAAAUUUUGAAGAAUAUCUAACUAGAGCUCAACAGUUCCUGGUGAUAUUGAUCACCUUAGGGCUUAAUGGGUUCCCUUAGAAUUCAAUUGUGUGAAAUGGGGUUUCUGAAAGAAGUUCAAAUUUCAAGAAGACAACUCAACUGUUUUUUUUCAAAGAAGAAUGUGAAAACUGUGUGUGGGUUGAGAAAUGGACCAAGAAAACCUAUGUGGAGGUCAAGGGUUUUGUCCUCAGAGGCAAUACAAGCUGUACAGUCUGUGAAAUUAGCAAAAUCAGCUGACAAAUUAGAGGAGAUGUUGAAAAACAAACUUAGUAGGUUAUUGAAGGCUGAUGUAUUAGACACCUUGAAUGAAUUGCAAAGGCAAAAUGAAGUUCACUUGGCUCUAAAGGAACGAGGAGUGGUACACACCAGAUUUAUCUGUGUUCAACAGUAUGAUAAUGAUGCUGGGCAAAAACAAAUUCAUUGAAAUGGCUGAACAACUAUUUGUGCACAUGAUAAAAGAAGGUCUGCAUCCAGAUAGUAGAACCUACACUGAGCUGAUUGGGGCAUACUUUAGAGUAGAUCUCAUAGAGAAGGCAAUGGAAAUGUAUGAACUGAUGAAGAUAUCUGGAUUCUGCCCGGAUAAGUUGACUAUGAGUAUUUUGAUAAGGAACCUUGAAAAGGCUGAAGAGAAAGAACUUGUGGUUAGAGUAAAGAAUGAAUGUGCCAACUAUAUUGACUAUCCAGAGAAAUUUCUAAAAGAAAUUGAAAGUACCAAUGUAAGUUGAUUCCUGACUAUUUAAUAUGUUCUUUUUAUUAGCACUAUAAGUCUUGAUCUGGGACAAUUCUCAAGUUUUUUUUUAAUUCCUAUUGAUAAAAAUAUUUUUUAAUUUCUUAUGUCAUGCUGAAAUCCACGUUCAUUUAUAAACACACUAUCACCACAUGAAAAAGAGGGGGAGGGGGUAGCAUUAUGUGGCCAAUGUUAUCCCAUACAUGAUUCUUCUGGUAGAUGAAACUUAGGAUAAGGUCCAAACAAAAAUUGAAAUUGACUGGUAACCCUUGAGAGUUCUCAUUUUGAUUAGGCUGGAUGUUAUUCACUAAGAUAUGUGGCUAGAGGCCCUUAGUUGCACGGGCUCUCCACUUCUGAUGCUGCACACGGACUCUCCACUUUUGAUGCCGCACCUGUGCCGGAUUCUCCAAAAUACACUACUUGUGGCGAAUCCGACUCGCACCCGUUGACCUUUUUGAAGAGUCCGAGCAACAUAGGAGGCUGUCAAGUAAAACACUCUUUGCCUCCCAUCUUCCUACAUUGACAAUAAUGUACCUUGCUAUAGGACCUGCAAGUGUGGGUUGAUGAACCACCACUUCUCUAAUGCUACUAUUGCCCCUGAUGAGAUGGAGUGCUAAAAGAGGAAGUACAGCUAACUGGACUGAUCUAGAAGAAUCUUGACUAUGACCACCCCUGCCCUCAUUUAGAGCACUCUUAGUAGGUACAAGAUGGCGAGCCCUCUUCUUAUUUCUCUCAGAAUUCUCAUGAAUCUGCAUUGCAUCUACUCGGGUGGCAACAUCUCAACAUCAUGUACUAUUGUGGCUUUCAAUCACUAACAUAACUCGGAUACGGCAACCUAACUCAUCAACAAGUAGGGAUCAAGUGUAUAGUGAGACAAAUUAGUUAAAAUAGCAUCAUACUCAACCAUAGUCAUACCUCCUUGCUCUAUUUGGUCAAACUAGCACUACCUCUUAUCAUGCUGACUCUAGGUAAUGAACUUCUCCAUGAACAAGGUCAAAAACUCACUCCAAGUGAGCUCACGAGAUCCAGCUGGCCUGCCUCUCUGAUAGGAUACCCACCAAGACUCGGCUAUACCAAAUAGUGGAAAAGUAGUACAGGCUAUUCCAUGCGUGUCUCUAAGACUAAUACCCAUGGUAAAAGGUAUCUUAUUAUGCUUCUUUAUAAACUUCUGAGCCGUAGUAGUGGCUGAAGUGUUAUCAAACUCUGGGAGGAGGAAUUUCAGAAAGACUCCAUCUUCCUCACCAUAUCAUCUCCAACAAUAGUAGAAAGGCCCCUCUCUGCCCAUCUGUAUCAUAGGUUGGGAAGCCAUAAUAGGAACUAGGAUUGGCGUCUCAGUUGCUAGGUUAGGGUGUUAGGCUACUGUUCUAAGGAAUACAGUAGGACUCUGAGCACCAAUAGUAGCAUGUAACAGCUGGUGGCACUGGCAGCUCAAUUGGUCUAGGAGAAUAAGAUUCCAAAACGUUCGAUAUCUCACAUUGUUGCUGGGUCACUCCAAAAAUAUUGAUGCACCUGUGUCGGAUCCUCUAGAAAUGCAUUAUCUUUGGAGGAUUCGACACACGCCCUCCGACAUUUGUAAAGAGUCUGAGCUACAUGGGUCGCACUCUCACAUUCUACACUAACUGGAAGAGGAAUGGCAGGACUAAUUACUGUGAUCUGUACGGGAAUAUCCCGUGCCUUAAGAAUCACAGGCUGUGUUGGUCUAGCUCAACCAACAGUUGGGGGUCUACCUCCGGUAACCUUAGCAGUUGUGGUUCUAGGUUGAGUAGUCUGAGCACUCGAGCUUACUUUCCCUAGGCAUAGCCUGCACUGGUGGUUCCUAAUUUGAUUCUCCAGGGACUAUCUCGUAUUCACCAUAUGUCAUAAAGACAUUCAAGGAUUAGAGCUUACUUCUAAAUCUAUUGCAUGAGACAAAAAGGAAGAAAGAAGGGAAAUUUUCCAAAAUUCCCUUGCAUCCUCAUGUUUAUAGAUAUUGUCAACAACAUAUCUUCUAUAAAUAAGAGUACCAGGACUGCUCCUUGACUUACAAGAAUCUAAAGCCUAAGCACUAAUAACAAGUUCCUCAAGAUCCAAAUCUGUUGGCUAUGAAUGGCACCUUAAGAACCCCUGCCCCCAACCAAACCCCGUCCUUUGCCACCACAACUCAUUUUCAAAGUUGAGCAGAAUAUUUGAAAUGCAAAGUAAUAAAGUCUAACAAUUUUGAUGAAAAGCUACGUAAGUCAUUAAUAUCUUAAAAUAAAAAGUCAAGGAGCGCUGCUUAGACUCUGAUUACAUAGCUUGGGUUACAAUGGGAAAUUAAACAAAAUGAAAUAGCUAGCUUGAAGUGAGCCUUCAGGGUGGCCCAGUGGUUUGGGCUGGGACUUCUAUGUUGGAGGUCUCAAGUUCGAAACCCCUUGCCAGCGAAAUCAAGGGGUUUGACUUCUGGGUCGAGCUCGUCGCACCAGGCUUGCCGUAGGUUACCUAUCCUAUGUGGUUUGCUAGCUAUUGCAUAGGAGCGGGGGUUUUACCCUGUGCGCACCCAAAGGGUAGCAGCUGCAGGCUUCCCUUGUCUUUAAAAAAAAAAACUAGCUUGAAGUGCCAACACUACUGUUGUGGGUUCUCACCUUAGUUGAACUCUGAUACGAGCACUAUAUGUUAAAAUAGCAGUAGGAACAAAAAUAGUAUAUAGAGUUCUACUUGGAAAGGGAUUGAAAUGUUGUGUCCUAGUUGAAAAAGUCUAAUGUAGUAAUGUAGCGUCUAUAAAUAGAGUUUGAAUAUAAUAAUGUAGAGACAAUUCAAUAAUAUUCUUCUCCAAGAUUUCUUAUAUGGUAUCAAAGCCUCUACAAUUCUGUUAGAGAAUAAAAAAGAGCUCCCGUAGUCGGCGGGCGGUUAUAACUCGUAUAGCUGCUCGUAUGGCCACUAAUUAUGUUAGAAAAAGCUGGGUCAAAAUACUAUACGCAUAAAAACAAUCAUGCUUAGAAUGGCUGAUUUUUGAGAAGCAUCUUGGACAGAAAGUAGCACCCUGCUUUUUUCCGGUGGCGUUUUAGAUCUAAUUUGUGUAGAACCAUGCAUCUUUUCGAUUUGCGUAUCACCGUGCAUUUUUUCCGUAACUACUUUGUCAUAUCCGAUUUGCAUAGAGCAUCGGUUAUCUUUUCGGUGACUACUUUCUCAUAUCUGUGUUGCACUGUGUAUCAAUCUGGUGUAGCGCAGUGCAUCUUUUCGGUGAUUACUUCCUCAUAUCUGAUUUGUGUAGUACUGUGCAUCUUUGCGUACUACUUUCUCAAAUCAGUGUUGCGUAGCAUCAUGCGUCUUUUCGGUGACUCAUAUAUGAAUUACGUAAUUUCACUUUUCGUCAGUGUUGUGCAUAAACCAACACAUCUCAGAGGUAAAAUGUCUCCCUGUGACCAAACCACAACCGGCUUCACUGUGGAUCAACCUCCCACGCGCCGCCCAGGAGAUCAUCACCUUCGACAAGAUCUGACCACCCUUCGGUGCGUGAGCUUGUUCUGGACUGCUUUUCGAUGACUUUCUUGUUCAAGAUUUAUCAAUCUCUUGAUUUUGAGAUGACCCAUAUAUUUUAAACCAGUUUCCCUUAGCAUUUUUCUUACAAACAUCUUCACCAAGUGAGGAUUUUCACCAAGUUCCUCACUGCUCCUAUUAAUCACAUCUGUAACAAGCUCAGUAUAUAUGACGUGUAUGCAUCAACUUGAGGGGGAGUGUUAGAAUAAGAGUAUGAAUAUGAAUAGUAUAUAGAAUCGUACUUGAAAAAUGACUGUAAUUUAGUGUCCUAUUUGGAAUAGGAGUCUUAUAUAGCAUCUAUAAAUAGGGUCUCAAUGAAUAAUAUAGAGACAUAAUUCAAUAAUAUUCUUCUCCAAUAUUUCUCACAUUAUCACAGUUGACCAAUAAUCGAACUAGUGGAAGGAUCUACAGAGAACAUAUAAUUAACAAGGGUGAGCCUAAAGCCCAUCAAGAUCAUCAACCCUCUGUGUAAAAUAAUGCAUGGAAGCAACAUCAUAAAAAUAUGUAUUUUCCAGUACUUCAAUGAAACAUCAAGUAGGAUAUGUAGAGAGUAGGUACAAGUUAAUCGCAUUCAGGCGUAGGCCCUCAGGGUCAAGCCCUUUAGACUGAUUAUUUAAAUCUAUGGGCCCUGUGUAUUCCAAAUAAUCUAUUAAACCGAAUCACAUGGUCCUUUAUGGAUACUCGGGAUUUAUUAGACCAACAUACAUAGUCCUCAGGAACUGUAUAACAAUAUCAACUAAAAUCAAUUGGCUUGUACAGCAUAUAAUUCAAGUAAUCUUGUCAUCAGAUAUUGUCAUGUAAGACUAAUCAAACUCAUAUAAUAAUGCCAAAUACCCUUUAGUGAUACAAUUGUUAAAUCUCUAGGAUGCUAUGCUCACUUUAUGCGAAUUUAAGUGAGAGCAAUAUAUAUAGUUGGUCACAAAGGAUAUAUAGGCUAUGACAACGUCGGGAAUAGUGCAAAAGUGUCUUCAGUUAGUUUUGAGAUUCUUAUGUAGCAUAAGGACAAGUGCAGGAUUCAAAAACCCUUUAAUUUAUUGAGUAUUGGAAUAUUAUGUGUUAGAAUAGAAGACAAUAGAUAUAGAUGAUUCGUAUAACUGACCUCAACUCUGUUUUUUUUUAACUUGAUAACUUGGUAUUAUAUCACAACCAGUACAGGGGUUGUACUGAAACCUUAUAUACAUAUGUAAUGCAAAUUUCACUGCCUUGAACCUAAAUUGAGUCUAGAACAUCAACUAUAGAGAGAGUUUCAUUUGAGUAUACCUGGUUACACCAAAAACAUAACAACAUAAUGCAGUUUAGUUUAACCUUUAGCAUGUACUCCUGCAUCCUCCCAGCUCUGAGACUAUCCUGGGCAUGGUGAUGGUUUAGGAAAUACCUUUGAGACUUAGAGAUAUUCUCCAUACCUUAAGAGUGUAAGUGCAGUGUAGAAACAAAUGGUUCACUGUCUCAUAUGUUCCCUUGCAAAGAAAACAUCUUGAGCAUAAGGUUAUCCCUUUCUUCAUCACAUUGUCCUGAGUCAAAGCUGCUUCUUUGGCCAAUAACAGAUGAAACAGGAUAUUUUGUAGGGUAUCCUAUUUUUCCAAAUUUGCUUCCAUGGCCAGUUUAGAUCGUUAUUACUAGGUUGAUCCAUCAUCCUGUAAGUUUUGUUAACUUUGAAUACCCGUUUGUUGUUACCACUCCACCAUAAUAUAUCCUUCCCAAUCUGAAGCCCAUUAAAGGUGUUUACUGCGUUAAGGAAUUCAGCAACUCUCAUAAUUUCCUAGUCAUUUAGCUGCCUCCUAAAGGCAAAGUUCCACCCCUGUCGUGUCUAUAGCUCGCUAUGUAUCUCUGUUGGAACUUGCUACAUUGAAAAUAUCUGGAUAUAAAGCUGCCAAGUUGCCUUUUUCAUGCCAUUCAUCCGUCCAAAAUUUGGUCUUUCUUCCAUUCAUCACUCUUUUCUUUCGAGUGUUCCUCACCUCAUCCCACAAACUGACCUCAACUUAUUGAGGCACAGUUAAUAAUGGUAAACUGCUGCUUCUCUAGUAGAACUUGAAAUUGCCUUGCACAAUAUUUGUACCUUUUGCAGGGGCGUUAGGAACAUGAAGAAUUUGAACAUCUGAUAUUUAGGCAGAUCUUAGAAAGAGCAUUCCUCUUUUUUAUUUCUUUCUUUUAGAUAAGGAGAGAGAGCAGUCCUUAAGGUGGAAAUUUUGUUGUUCAAAGUGAUUUGUCAUAGAAUCCAUCAGUUUGAAUUGGUGAUAAUUAAAGAUUUCUAAUGUGCCUGGAACGUCAUGUUUGGCAGUAAUACUAGUAUCUCAAUUCUAGUUUAACUAUACAGAAUGGACCUCCCUUUUCAUUUGAAAAACAUAUUCUAGUUUAACGAUAGUGAAUGUACCUCUAUUUUUUAUUUGAAAAAUAUUGAAACUUCAUAGUUCAGUAGGUCUCUAGAGGGACCUCCCCUACAAUUCCUUUUUAUGGUGCUGCUAAAUCACAUUAUAUCAACAAAGUGCUAGUUUGUUCCCACUUUACCCUCUAAAUUUGUUUCCCUUAUGAAGCAGUUUUCUAACCACACUCACUCUCCUCCCCUAGCUUGACAUGUUGCACUCCCUAACCAAGCUCCGCCCAGGUUUCUCUCCCUCCCUUUCAGUCCAGUCUUCUCUGCACCAGUCCCCGUAGGGUUGAAUAGUCAGAAAGAGAGGUUUUGGGAAUGACUGAGAGAGGAGGUUCGGGAAUUUCAAUACUUAAAGAGAUUACUGUUUAGUUUUUGUUAAACUAGAUAGAAGUUCCUUGUUUUCUCGUUUGAUGUGCCUUCACCUGAAGUUUGAGAAGUUUGGAAUAACGGUGUGAGAAAUAUAAAUGGAAAUAAAGACCAAGUUGAGCACUCGCCCUACAAAUGUGAAAUACGUAGUGUGCUGCUGCAUCAAUCCAGUAACUUGAAAUUGAAAAUUUCCUUUCAAAAUUGUUACUUUGAUGUACUUUAUCUGAUUGAAGCUGACUUUACUUUCUUUUUCCUGUCCCUAGUUCAAGCGCAGAUCGAUCGACCUUGUCUGAAUUCUUGAAAUGAUAUACAAAAGCUUACGAGUAUUACCCCUUUUGUGGCAUUUGGAGACGUAUAAACUAUUGGAAAGCAAGAGCACGGUAGGCUAUUGUUGAUCCGCAUGUAGUCACUAGUUUGUCAAUACUUGUUUUUAGGUACAUGGAGGCGUAUGAAUGUUUUGUGACUAGCAUUCCUACUCUGUAUAGAAAGGAUUUGUCAGUCUUGAUUCUUUAAAAAGCUACAGAAACACCAACACAAGCAGCAAUGAUUACUAGAGUAAAAAAGAAGGUUGUUGCAAAUGCCUAGUAUGGAGACCAACAACCUCGUGAGUCCAACCAAUAACUUGGCAGACAAUGACUCAAGUAAAUCAUCUUCAGCAUGGCGAGAUGUCGGAAUGGACAAGAACAUAAUGAUGGAAACGGUUGAGCUGAUAAUGCUACUGCAUUUGAUAUGACAAAAGACCAUAAAUCCAUUCAAAUUUAGCAAUAUUGGAAUAUCAUACAAGAAUUUGGAGGGUUCUUCAUCAACUUAGUAAUAGUUUGUGCUUGUAUGUGAACUAGAUUCACUGCACGUGUGUUGCACGUGUAGGUUAAAUCUCGAGAUCCCUAUACACGAGAUAUUUUAUUUUUUGCGUAUAUUUUAGGCUUUCAACAUAUCAAUAUGUAUUUAAUAUUGCACUACGCCAUACCAAGUGAAUGGACAAUCUAUUGCCUUCUUACUUGUUGGGCAUGUAGUGGCGAAGUCAUAUUCUUAAAUUGUUAUUAGGUAAGUUCUUAGUAAGUAAUUGUGCAAAAAUCAAUAGUUUGUCCUCUUAGUUAUGUCGUGUCAUAAACUGUAUGUUUUCUUUUAAUAUUUGAAAUUUAGUGUACCCUGUAUUUGAAUAACUUUAUAUACACAAAAGUAAUGUCUUCUGCGAUAGUUGUCUAGUGUUUUUCAUAUCGUCUUCUCUUUCACCAAACCUAAGAAUUCAUCCAAUAUAUAUAUAAUUUUCAUUAGCUACAUGUGUGGUGUAUGUUUUUUCUUGUUUGAUCUCUUAUAAUUUUGCUAUUAUCAAAUUUCAC
rnacentral:lncRNA from 1 species